rnacentral:rRNA from 1 species
UACGGAGGGUGCAAGCGUUAAUCGGAAUUACUGGGCGUAAAGCGCACGUAGGCGGUUCGUUAAGUCGGAUGUGAAGUCCCCGGGCUCAACCUAGGAACUGCAUCACAUACUGCCAGGCUAGAGUACGGUAGAGGGGGGUAGAAUUCCACGUGUAGCGGUGAAAUGCGUAGAGAUGUGGAGGAAUACCAGUGGCGAAGGCGGCCCCCUGGAGUCGAUACUGACGCUGAGGUGCGAAAGCGU